rnacentral:tRNA from 1 species
CAUUUUUUAGCUAAUGGUUAGAGCGUAGGUCUCGUAACCGAAAGGUGGCGGGAUCGAAUCCCGCUAGAGGCUG